rnacentral:rRNA from 1 species
CCCUUAGAUGUUCUGGGCCGCACGCGCGCUACACUGACUGGUGCAACAAGUGUCUGACCUUGGCUCGAGAGGCCUGGGCAACCUUUGAACGCCAGUCGUGCUGGGGAUAGAUUCUUGCAAUUAUUAAUCUUCAACGAGGAAUUCCUAGUAAACGCAAGUCAUCAGCUUGCAUUGAUUACGUCCCUGCCCUUUGUACACACCGCCCGUCGCACCUACCGAUUGAAUGAUUUAGUGAGGACUUCGGACUGGGACCGAUGCGGCUUUCGGGCUGCGUCGGUAUUCUGGAAAGAUGUCCAAACUGUAUCAUUUAGAGGAAGUAAAAGUCGUAACA